rnacentral:rRNA from 1 species
UUGGAGGGCAAGUCUGGUGCCAGCAGCCGCGGUAAUUCCAGCCCCAAUAGCGUAUAUUAAAGUUGUUGCAGUUAAAAAGCUCGUAGUUGAAUUUCGGGGUUAGUAGGUUGGUCACGCCUCUGGUAUGUACUGGUCUCACUGAUUCCUCCUUCCUGAUGAACCUUAAGCCAUUAAUUUGGUGUUUUGGGGAAUUUGGACUGUUACUUCGAAAAAAUUAGAGUGUUUGAAGCAAGCUAACGCUUGAAUACAUUAGCAUGGAAUAAUGAAAUAGGACGUUCGAUCCUAUUUUGUUGGUUUCUAGGAUUGACGUAAUGAUUAAUAGGGAUAGUUGGGGGCAUUAGUAUUCAAUUGUCAGAGGUGAAAUUCUUGGAUUUAUUGAAGACUAACUACUGCGGAAGCAUUUGCCAAGGAUGUUUUCAUUAAUCAAGAACGAAAGUUAGGGGAUCGAAGACGAUCAGAUACCGUCGUAGUCUAAACCAUAAACUAUGCCGACUAGGGAUCGGAUGAUGUUAAUUUUUUAAUGACUCAUUCGGCGCCUUACGGGAAACCAAAGUGUUUGGGUUC